rnacentral:rRNA from 1 species
UACAGAGGGUGCGAGCGUUAAUCGGAAUUACUGGGCGUAAAGCGUGCGUAGACGGUCAAGUAAGUCGGGUGUGAAAGCCCCGGGCUCAACCUGGGAAUUGCAUUCGAGACUGCGUGGCUAGGGUGCGGAAGAGGGAAGCGGAAUUUCCGGUGUAGCGGUGAAAUGCGUAGAUAUCGGAAGGAACACCAGUGGCGAAAGCGGACUUCCUGUCCAGCACCGACGUUCAGGCACGAAGCGUGGG